CUAUCUAUUCAAUCCCAAAUUUAAAAAUAAAAAUAAAAAAUAAAAACAUGAAAAGAGCCGAGUCUAAGGAUGCCUGCAACCAUUGAAGAACAGCAAGAACAAGAAAAAGAAUUCUGCGGUAAAGCUCAUAAAUAUUCUCAACUAAUCCAAACCCAUUAAGAAAUUCUUAUAAACAUGUUCCUUCCCCAGUUAACCAAUGCAUUGACCUUUCUUUCUAUGUCGCAUUUAUUGAGAUUCGAUGCCUCCCCAACGCCUUUGAUUACUCUGUUUUCUCAAUUCUACUUAAAAUUUUUCCAGUUACCCUAUAUUUACGUCUUUCUACUCUGUUUCUUUUAAUCAAGCUCUGUUUUUUUUCCCUUAAUUCUUGUUUCUUUUGCUUAUCUUCUUCUUCGUCUUUAGGUAGCUGAUGGUUGCUCUGUUUUCUUCUUGGAGAAACCAAAUGAUAUUGUGUCCAGCAAAAUUAUGGCUUUCAAUAACAGUAAUAGUUCUUUUUCUUAGCUCCCGAGCAAAAUCUGUUCAUUCAGAGAAGAAUAAGUGCCAUGGCUCUUGCGUAACCAACAAUUUCACAACACCCUUGCCGUAUCCAUUCGGAUUCUCAUCGGGUUGCCCCAUCCGACUCAGAUGCACCCGAAGCGGUGUUAGGAUCGGAGGCUUUCAUGUCCUCAACGUGACUUCCACAUACAUCAUCGUCGGCCUUCCCACCAAAUGCGACCGACAGGUUUCUUCGAUCAAUGCUUUGUUCGGAGAAAACUACGCCGUUUCAACUUCCAACAAUCUUCUGCUACAAAGCUGUUCGAAACCCAUAGAAGCUCCAUGUGAAAUAAGGCCCAAGUUUUUAGAACCAUCAUUCAAUCUCAACCCUUGUGUUUCUAAGGGCGGCAACAUAAGUUGCUUCGCCGGCAAUCCUGGUGAGAAGUUGUUGAGUUUCGAGGAAGUUAAUGGAACGCAGUGCCGUUUCGUGCUUUCCUCGACUUCAUUUGUGGUUGACUCGGCGAGGAACUCAUCGAUUUCUUUGGAACUCGAUCGAGUUAACUUGGAAUGGUGGAUGAAGGGGCAGCCUGAUUGUGAUAGAAAUGCUAAUUAUGAGCCUGUCAAGACUGGUAAUACGACGGUGGGGUUUAAGUGCUUUUGCAAAGACGGGUUUGAAGGAGAUGGCUUCCGAGCUGGCGAUGGCUGCCGGAGAGUUUCUAAAUGCAAUGCUUCAAAAUACAUGUCUGGCAAAUGCGGGGGAACUACAAGAGUUGUUGUUCUUAUUGGAGGGCUUGCGGUUGGGGCUUUGUUGAUGGGUGGGGUGGCUCUUUUAUGUUGCUAUAUUCGAAGGCGAACUAAUUCGAUAAACAAACGGAUGAAUGCAAAGCGGCUUAUAUAUGAAGCAGCCGGUAAUUCUAGUGUUCCUUUCUAUGCCUAUAGAGAAAUUGAAAAAGCUACAAAUGGUUUCUCUGAUAAACAAAGACUAGGGAUUGGAGCCUAUGGUGCAGUUUAUUCAGGGAAACUCCAAAAUGUUGAUUGGGUUGCCAUAAAAAGGUUCAGGUUUAGAGACCCUGCUAGCAUUGAUCAAGUAAUGAAUGAGAUCAAGCUCCUUUCAUCGGUCAGCCACCCGAAUCUUGUUCGUCUCUUAGGUUGCUGCAUUGAGGAAGGCGAACCGAUCCUGGUUUAUGAAUUUAUGCCAAAUGGAACUUUAUUGCAGCAUCUGCAACGAGACAGGGGUGAAGGACUUCCAUGGACAGUAAGGCUUACCAUUGCUGCUGAAACAGCCAAAGCUAUUGCUUAUCUUCACUCUGUGAAUCCCCCAAUUUUUCAUAGAGAUAUAAAGUCUAGCAACAUACUAUUGGAUUAUAAUUAUAGAUCAAAGGUGGCUGAUUUUGGCCUUUCAAGGCUGGGGAUGACAGAAUCAUCCCACAUCUCCACUGCUCCACAAGGAACACCAGGUUAUCUCGAUCCGCAAUACCAUCAGUACUUCCAUCUUUCGGAUAAAAGUGAUGUUUAUAGUUUCGGGGUUGUUCUCGUGGAGAUAAUAACUGCAUUGAAAGUGGUCGAUUUCGCCCGGCAGCAUAGCGAGGUAAACUUGGCUGCACUUGCUAGUGAUAGGAUAGGAAGAGGCUGCAUCGAUGAGAUAAUCGAUCCUUUUCUUGACCCACACAAGGAUGCUUGGACAAUGUCAUCAAUCCAUAAUGUGGCUGAGCUAGCAUUUAGAUGCCUUGCUUUUCAUGGUGACAUGAGGCCUAGCAUGUCGGAAGUGGCCGAAGAGCUAGAACACAUCCGGCUUAGCGCCUGGGUUCCCAGCUUGUCACCAUCGGCUUCCUCUUAUUCAUCGUCAGAUAAUGAGAGUGAAAAAUGUUUAAGUACAAAGAUGGGAAGCCAGAGAUUGGUUGUGAAGCAAAGGGAAGAAGAUCAUAGUUCCCCUGUUUCAGUCCAAGAGUAUUGGUUAAGUGGAGAAAGUUCACCUUCAACAAACAGCUUGUUGGGUAAUGCAUCUCAGCGAGAAUGAGGCCUCAUAUGUAGUGCUCCGUAUCAUUGUUAUCGAUACUUUUUCCCGUCUUGCAAGCAAAGUUGAAACCAGGAGUUGUUUAUAGCAAUUGAUUCAUGGGUCAUCAAUUAAAAAGAUCAGUUGGGAAGAGAAUCCUGAAAUGCAUAUUUUCCGGGGAGAGGGGAAUGGGAGUGUUCUGAUCUUCAUGUUUUAGGCUACAAAACCCUUAAAUCUUAUUUUCUUAUUUUUUUCUUUUCAAUAUUAAAGAGGAGGAAAUUAAACUUUUUUCCAUGUUUGAAAUUAAGUCGUCAAAGUAUACACGUAGCCGAUUGAAUUGGAUAAAAUCGUCACAUAAUUAAUAAUUUUUUACAAAAAAUACUUACAAUACGAUGUUUAAAUCAAUAUAGUUGAAGGACUUAAGUUUUAAAAUUUUUAAAUAUAAGGACUAAAUCUAAAAUAUUGUCAAAUCUUUUUUAAAAAAUUCUCACUAAUGAACUUGGGUUGGGCCAAUGAGCCCAAUGGUUAUGAAAUACUAUAAGGAAGUGGAAACCCUAACCCUAAAUCACGUCUCGCCGAUAUAAUAAAUCCAGAAGCGCUUCCAUGUCAAAGCCUCAUUCUUUUCCUCUUUAAAUCUGAAACGAAAUAGGUUUCCCCUCCCCUCCCUUCCUCUUGUUUUUAUUAUUUUUAACCAUGAAAGAUUGCAAGUGGUGGAACAGGAAGGGUUUCUCGGUGAUGAUGGAAUACGAUGACGAGUCCGAUUUCCAUUCUUUCAAAUCGUGACGACAAAUCGAGGCAUUUGUCUGAGAGAAAUCCAUAUUCUUUGUGUUUUUACCUCUCUUUUUUUAAUUCCAAAAACUAAGAAUGAUUAUUUUUUUGGUGCGAGGCAUAAUGAGGAAGAAGUAACAAAAAAUCUGACUUAUUGUGAUGAUCAAUCACCUCCUACUCAUUCUGAAUGCCGCUAAAAAAAUAUUCAUACAAUGGUUUUAUUUUGGGUAAAGAUUUUUUUAAAGAAAGAGAAAAGGUUUGAUAAGUGAUUUAUGGUUGAAGAGGAUUGCCUGUUUUACCUUUAAUGUGUGUGUAAACUUAGAAUUUUGUAAAGGAUAAAUAAAAUUAA